GACGAACGCUGGCGGCGUGCUUAACACAUGCAAGUCGAGCGGAAAGGCCCUUCGGGGUACUCGAGCGGCGAACGGGUGAGUAACACGUGAGUAAUCUGCCCUCGGCUUUGGGAUAACUACCGGAAACGGUGGCUAAUACCGGAUACGACAACCGUCUGCAUGGGCUGGUUGUGGAAAGUUUUUUCGGCCAGGGAUGUGCUCGCGGCCUAUCAGCUUGUUGGUGGGGUAAUGGCCUACCAAGGCUUCGACGGGUAGCCGGCCUGAGAGGGUGACCGGCCACACUGGGACUGAGACACGGCCCAGACUCCUACGGGGGGCAGCAGUGGGGAAUAUUGGACAAUGGGCGGAAGCCUGAUCCAGCAACGCCGCGUGAGGGAUGACGGCCUUCGGGUUGUAAACCUCUUUCAGUACCGACGAAGCGCCGAUGAUGGUGGUGACGGUAGGUACAGAAGAAGCACCGGCCAACUACGUG
rnacentral:rRNA from 1 species